CACCGAAGAAAGUCUCGCCCUCAUCGGUCUCCAGCUCUGGUGACUGGUUGGUUUCCGUCCACAGUUUGUCUCCUUUAUUUAGCUGAAACACUGCACCCAGAUAAAUUGCGUUGUACCAGCCGUGUCCGGAUGUGUUGUCCUCCUUAGCUGUGUUUUGGCACACCGACCUCACCGCGCUCAUCAGAGAAGCGUUGCCUCCUAUGGAGUCUGAGUAACGCCAGACCCUGUGGCUGAGAGGAGUAAGGCCUUUUCCCGCUCUUUCCUCGUUGCCAUUGCUGCAGGAGACUCUGAACGAUGCCUGGCUGUAGACGAAGUAGAGGCCAGUUUGUGGGAUAACAAUCUGGUUCUUCACUAGUUGGAAACCUCCCUGAGCAAACGCCUGGCCUUGAUCGUUUCUCCACUCCAGCUGGUUUUCCGAACUCUCAUCGUUGUAGAUACCUGGAAAAAGAGCAAGAAAGCGCUGUUACAGCCUUGACUCAUCUUGGUUCUGCUCUCCACAGGAGGGAAUAAUUAACAGAAACUCCAAGUAUCACACAAGUGGAAGAAAGAGUCUGAAAAGUUCUUCUGAAAGCCGAAAUCAUGAGCCCAUUGUUUGCUGAGGAUCAAAUCAAGGUUGGCUAUGACUCACCUUCUAAAUGGAUGGCUGCCUUGGCUUUGCUGCUGAUUCGGCUCAGCGUGUAGUGGGGAUCUGAGAAGAGGAAGACAAAUGUGAGCUUGUCUUAAAACAUCUACAAAUACUCAAAUAUGUCUCACAAAACCAGCCUUUGUUAAAAAAAAUUGAACACCCAUGCAUGUAAUCACCUGUUUUCUUCGAUGUGUCCUCCUUUACUUGUGCUUCUGUUUGGCCUGAUUGCAUCUGUAUGGAGAGAAUAAAACAGAUUACAGAAAGAAA